AUUGAACGCUGGCGGCAGGCCUAACACAUGCAAGUCGAGCGGAGCGGCGGACGGGUGAGUAAUGACAAGGAAUCUGACUGGUAGUGGGGGAUAACGUCAGGAAACGGGAGCUAAUACCGCAUACGCUUAGCUGAGCCUAGGCCGGAUUAGCAAGUGGGAGGGGUAAAGGUAUACCAAGGCGACGAUCCGUAACUGGUCUGAGAGGAUGAUCAGUCACACUGGAACUGAGACACGGUCCAGACUCCUACGGGAGGCAGCAGUGGGGAAUAUUGGGCAAUGGGGGAAAGCCUGAUGCAGCCAUGCCGCGUGUGUGAAGAAGGUCUUCGGAUUGUAAAGCACUUUAAGUUGGGAGGCGUUACCAACAGAAUAAGCACCGGCUAACUUCGUGCCAGCAGCCGCGGUAAUUC
rnacentral:rRNA from 1 species